UCCUUUGGUUCAUAAGCGUGAUGAUUGGGUGGUCACGCUAUUGUGUGAGAUGUGCCUCCCUCUAAACUUUGUUACCACAUCUGCACAUUACCCAUCUGAC
rnacentral:snoRNA from 1 species